GCUGACACAUCCCGGCCAAUCUCCAGCAGACCCUCCCUCCCAGACCCUCCCACCUCCUGGACAGCAUCCAUUUUGAAGGCAGCUUCAACAUGGAUGCUGUCCAGGAGGUGGGAGGGUCUGGGAGGGAGGGUCUGCUGGAGAUUGGCUGGGAUGUGACAG
rnacentral:miRNA from 1 species